rnacentral:rRNA from 1 species
UACGUAGGUGGCAAGCGUUGUCCAGAAUUACUGGGUGUAAAGGGAGCGCAGGCGGGGAAGCAAGUCGGCUGUGAAAUGCAUAGGCUUAACCUAUGAAUUGCAGUUGAAACUGUUUUUCUUGAGUGGAGUAGAGGUAGGCGGAAUUCCGAGUGUAGCGGUGAAAUGCGUAGAUAUUCGGAGGAACACCAGUGGCGAAGGCGGCCUACUGGGCUCUAACUGACGCUGAGGCUCGAAAGUGUGGGGAGCAAACAGGAUUAGAUACCCGUGUA